UGGGGAAUCUUCCGCAAUGGGCGAAAGCCUGACGGAGCAACGCCGCGUGAGUGAUGACGGCCUUCGGUUGUAAAGCUCUGUGAUCGGGGACGAACGGUCAGCAGACGAAUACUCUGCUGAAGUGACGGUACCCGAAUAGCAAGCCACGGCUAACUACGUGCCAGCAGCCGCGGUAAUACGGAAGGUCCGGGCGUUAUCCGGAUUUAUUGGGUUUAAAGGGAGCGUAGGCCGUCUUAUAAGCGUGUUGUGAAAUGUCGGGGCUCAACCUGGGCAUUGCAGCGCGAACUGUGAGACUUGAGUGCGCAGGAAGUAGGCGGAAUCGUCGUGUAGCGGUGAAAUGCUUAGAUAUGACGAAG
rnacentral:rRNA from 1 species